UACAGAGGUCUCAAGCGUUGUUCGGAUUCAUUGGGCGUAAAGGGUGCGUAGGCGGCGCGGUAAGUCGGGUGUGAAAUCUCGGGGCUUAACUCCGAAACUGCAUUCGAUACUGGCGUGCUUGAGGACUGGAGAGGAGACUGGAAUUUACGGUGUAGCGGUGAAAUGCGUAGAUAUCGUAAGGAAGACCAGUGGCGAAGGCGGGUCUCUGGACAGUUCCUGACGCUGAGGCACGAAGGCCAGGGGAGCAAACGGG
rnacentral:rRNA from 1 species